rnacentral:rRNA from 1 species
UACGUAGGGGGCAAGCGUUAUCCGGAUUUACUGGGUGUAAAGGGAGCGUAGACGGCUAUGCAAGUCUGAAGUGAAAGCCCGCGGCUUAACCGCGGAACCGCUUUGGAAACUGUGCGGCUAGAGUGCUGGAGAGGUAAGCGGAAUUCCUGGUGUAGCGGUGAAAUGCGUAGAUAUCAGGAGGAACACCGGUGGCGAAGGCGGCUUACUGGACAGUCACUGACGUUGAGGCUCGAAAGCGUGGGGAGCAA